rnacentral:snRNA from 8 species
AUCGUUUCUAGGCCUUUUGGCUCAGAUCAAGUGUAGUAUUUGUUAUUAUCAGUUUAAUAUCUGAUAGGUCCCCCAUCGGGGGACUACAUAUUAAAUGGAUUUUUCGAACAGGGAGUCGGAAAUGGGGCUUGCUCCGUCCGCUCCACGCAUGGACCCGGUAUUGCAGUACCUCCGGGAAAGGGGCAACACUU